rnacentral:snRNA from 1 species
GGGAUAACUGGCUUGUGGCAGC